rnacentral:rRNA from 1 species
AGACGUCUACAUUAGAUACCCGCGUAGUCCCAGCCGUAAACUAUGCGCGUUAGGUGUAUCGGUGACCACGAGUUACCGAGGUGCCGAAGGGAACCGUGAAACGUGCCGCCUGGGAAGUACGGUCGCAAGGCUAGAAACUUAAAGGAAUUGGCGGGGAGCACCACAACAGGUGGAGCCUGCGGUUUAAUUGGACUCAACGCCGGGAAGCUCACCGGAUAGGACAGCAGAAUGAUUGCCGGGCUGAAGACCCUGCAUGACUAGCUG